CCGCCGUCAGUCUGUCCGACCACUGGAGGGCUCUCGGCUCCUCUGCUCAGCCUGCGAAGGUGCCGCCACCGCCGGGCUCCCCUGCUCGAGCUACCCCACCGCCGCCGCUGCUCGGACCUCUGUCUCCGCGAAGGAAAGGGAAAGAAGACGCCCACCUCCCUUCUCUGCCCUGAGCCCCCUUAAGUGAGGAAGCUCCUUCCUGCCUCCGUGCCGCCUCCACUUCGAGAAGCCCAGACGAGGAACCCUCAUCCAAAUCCUUGGGUUUAGAUGGUGGAGAGUUGUGUUUUAUUUAUAAAAAAGUCUUAAUGGUUAAGGCGAUCUUGGGAAUCACUAAAAUAUGUAGAGCGUCAAAUGUGAAUGCAACGUGCCCCCGAUUCUGUUUUUAAUAAAGCGUUCUAAUUUUAUAA